rnacentral:lncRNA from 1 species
AUGACUUCAAGCUUAAGAUGGAGAAUGUUGGAUAAGCUUGAUUUAUAAGUUUCCUUUUGUUAUUAGAGUUAUGUUUAUCUAUAAGAUUAGGAGAUAUGAUUGUGAUAAUACUAUUAAAAUUAGGAUAUAUCUAGUUCUAUAUAUAUGGAGAUGCAUUGUGUUGUUGCAUAACAUAUGAUUUGUGAUUUGAGCUUGUGAUUGAUUGAAUAAGAGAAGGACUUCUUAUUAAGGUUGUGAUUCUAUAGUUCAAACCGAAAAAUUAUUAGAAGAACACACACUCUUCUCCAACUUUGUCUUCUUAACUUCUUUCUCACCUUUUGUUCGAUUUGCUCAACACACACAGCUUCACGUGCUAUCUUCUACCUUUAUUAACUUCGUUUUGAACGCUCUGUCCACAGAUAUAUUUUC